GGAGGCCAAGAAAGUAGUUAGAUUCAGUCUUCAGGCCAACGGGUUACAUGAGCUACAUGCAGAAUUGAACAAACCAGUCCAGUUAGGAAAUUCUAAAGAACUGAGAUAUGAGAGAGAAGUGGUGCCACCAAUUCCAUCUGUAUCUUCUGGAAGGAAACAAGAUGUGCGCUUUCCAAGGUCUUCACGAAGCCAAGAAACAUGGCUUUAUUUUAAACAGAUGUGUAUGAAUUCUGUUGGGCAUUUUCAGACUGAAUGAAACUGCCAACGCCUGUCCCAUUGCCUGGAGGCUGUGUGGACCUGGAUGGGGAAGAACUGUCUUCAGCAUAAUCUCACCAAGUGGCUGUGGUUGUCAGGGGACCCUAGAUCCUGGAAGAUUCCAACUUUGAUCUUGGAUGAGGUUGUACUUCCCCACUCAAGGGUGGUAUGCAAUCUGGGGGUAUUCUUCAUGAGCAGGAGGCAGCUAUGGCCAAGAAGGCCUUUGCACAGCUUCUUCCUUUGGGGCCAGUUCCAGUCAGUGUUGGUAAUGGGGGAGUGGACCAAUUGUGUCCUGUCCUGGAUUGGGCUGCCCUUCAGACACUCACUCAUGCCCUAGUCAUCUCAGGGCUUGACUACUUGACUACUGCAAUGCGCUCUAUGUGGCACUGCCCUUGAAGAGACUCAGAAACUUCAACUGGUUCAGAAUAUAGUGGUGAAGGCAAUGAUGGCAUGCCUUGGUAUGCACAUGUGAUACCUAUGCUUUGCAAGGGCUGAUGGCUGCCUGUCUCCUUCCAGGUAUGAUUCAAGGUGCUGGUUAUGACCUAUAAGGCCUUAUACAGCAGAGGCCCUGGUUAGUUGAGUGAUUGUCUAUCUCCUGUGAUGUCCUCCUGAUUGAUAUGAACUGACAGAGUGAGUGUCCCUCAGGUCCCUUCAAUUAAACAGUGUCAUCUUCUGGGAUUCAGGAAAUGUACCUUCUCUGUCAUGGUGCCUACCCUCUGGAAUGAAGUUCCCCUUGUAAUCUAAAUGGCUUUCACCCUGAUAGCAUUCCAGAAGGAUUGAAGACCUGGCUCUUUUCCCAGACCUUUGGCUAAGGUGACUGGAGACUUUUGUGAGUUGUAUUUUUGGCUGGAUUUCCCAACUUGUUUUGUGUGUGUGUGUGUGUGUGUGUGUGUGCAGGGGGAACCUGGUUAUGUUUCUGAACUGUAUUUGUAUUUUAUUUUCUUUGUUAUACUGUGAUUCGCCCAGAGUUAUUUGGAGUCAGGCAAAAAUCGAAUCGAAUUGAAUUGAGUCGAAUGUUGUUGUCAAUGUUUGCAUGUAGUAGAUAUCCUUUGUAUUUUAGUGCUUCUUCUGUAUGGGUUUCAGAUAUCAUGUUCUGCGCCAAAGCUGACUGGAAAAGCAGUGAGGGACCAUAUGUUUUCCAUAUCUUCUUUCCCCCUUUUUCAUUUAUUCUGCAAUAGUUAUGUUAUACAGGUACUGUGAAGAGUUAUUUUUCUGUAGGUUCUUGUUUACUAUUUUAUUGGAUUCAGUGGACAAAAACAAUACAUGCAGUGAAAAGAUAGUUUGCAUAUUGGAUGGGAGCAAGGGAGAUAAACAAUUAUCAUUAUGCCUAUUACAAAGAUUCUGCCAUACAUUUUCAGCAUAAUCAGCUGGUGGGAGAAUCAUUAGAGGUAGAAAAUAAUAAUUAUUUUUACUGAUUAUAUCAUAUUCACCUAAUGCUGGUCAUUAUGUUUGCAUUUGCAUAUCUAAUACAAAUGGAGGGGACAAGUCUAGAUGGCAUGACAGAUAGUGUAAUACACUAUCUUAUUUAUCUUAGAUAGUGUAAUACACUCCAAAAAAGGCAUUGCUGAUCUCCCAGAAUCAUAUAUUGCAUGUCCACCUGAAAAUACUUGAUUUUAAAAGCCCAAUUUUUAAUUUCUAUAGUGAGAAACAUUUAGACUUAAGUAUGCCCCAAAGUACGAUAGCCCUGCAUACGAACUUAGUUAUGUUUUUUGAAGUAAAACACUUGGCAUGCAAUGAAAGUAAUCAUGCUCUCUAUUACUAUUCAUAUCUUAUAGAAAUAUAAGAGCUAGGUUAUGCUCUUAUAUUUCUAGAAUUAAUUCCUCAAAUUGAGCUUUGCUAGAUCCUUAUUUGCAGUUUUUUUCAACCAAGUAUUGUCCAUAUGCAUCAGAUUUCACCUGCGAUAAUGCCCAGAAGAAAGUUGUGUAAACAUAUCCAUAUUAUAGGUUCUGAUGCUAAUGUUAUUAGACAAAGAUUUCUAUAUCUAUGGCUUUAAAUCUGAAAACCCAGCUUUUUAAUGAUUUUAAUGAAUUUCAAAAAGAUUUUGAAAGAUUUCACUAUAGUAGCCUAUUCUUAGCACCUAGCCCUACGUUGUUCCUAAAGUUGCUUUGGAACUCUACUCUCUCUGUGUUUUAAAAGAAUGAUUUCAACAUGUAAUUCCAGUUGAGCUUUUUGAAUAAUUCCAUUUUUAAAACUCUUGUUCUUUAAUUAAAUGUUAAAGAAGGUUUCAUUU